AUUGAACGCUGGCGGCAGGCCUAACACAUGCAAGUCGAACGAGUGGCGGACGGGUGAGUAAUGUCUGGGAAACUGCCUGAUGGAGGGGGAUAACUACUGGAAACGGUAGCUAAUACCGCAUACCAUCGGAUGUUCCCCGAUGGGAUUAGCUAGUGGGUGGGGUAACGGCUCACCUGGGCGACGAUCCCUAGCUGGUCUGAGAGGAUGACCAGCCACACUGGAACUGGGACACGGUCCGAACUCUUACGGGAGGCAGCAGUGGGGAAUAUUGCACAAUGGGCGAAAGCCUGAUGCAGCCAGACGGCGUGGAUGAAGAAGUCCUUCGAGUUGUAAAGUACUUUCAGCGGGGAGGCGUUACCCGCAGAAGAAGCACCGGCUAACUCCGUGCCAGCAGCCGCGGUAAUUC
rnacentral:rRNA from 1 species